AUACGGAGGGUGCAAGCGUUACUCGGAAUCACUGGGCGUAAAGCGCGCGCAGGCGGGCUGAUAAGUUGGAUGUGAAAGCCUACGGCUCAACCGUAGAACUGCAUCCAAAACUGUCAGUCUAGAGUCUGGGAGGGGAAGAUGGAAUUAGUUGUGUAGGGGUAAAAUCCGUAGAGAUAACUAGGAAUACCAAAAGCGAAGGCGAUCGUCUGGAACAGUACUGACGCUGAGGCGCGAAGGCGUGGGGAGCAAACGGGAUUAGAAACCCUAGUAGUCC
rnacentral:rRNA from 1 species